rnacentral:rRNA from 1 species
AGGACGAACGCUGGCGGCGUGCUUAACACAUGCAAGUCGAACGGUAAGGCCUUUCGGGGUACACGAGUGGCGAACGGGUGAGUAACACGUGGGUGAUCUGCCCUGCACUUUGGGAUAAGCCUGGGAAACUGGGUCUAAUACCGAAUAUGACCAUUGGUUGCAUGACUGGUGGUGGAAAGCUUUUGCGGUGUGGGAUGGGCCCGCGGCCUAUCAGCUUGUUGGUGGGGUUAAGGCCUACCAAGGCGACGACGGGUAGCCGGCCUGAGAGGGUGUCCGGCCACACUGGGACUGAGAUACGGCCCAGACUCCUACGGGAGGCAGCAGUGGGGAAUAUUGCACAAUGGGCGCAAGCCUGAUGCAGCGACGCCGCGUGAGGGACGACGGCCUUCGGGUUGUAAACCUCUUCAGUAGGGACGAAGCGCAAGUGACGGUACCUACAGAAGAAGGACCGGCCAACUACGUGCCAGCAGCCGC